CCAUUGUCAAGUCAGAAUCAUCACAGAUCAUCAAAACAAACUCAAGAAAAUGUGCUUUCUUGUUUGAGAGAAAGGGAAGCAAGGUGAAUUGACAAACUUCAUUACAAUUAUAGACAUGUCUAUGAGGAAAAUUUCAAAUAAGAUAUUUGAUGAGACCUGUAAAGUCCAAUCAGCAACUAGAAUGGAAGUGUCUGGUAGCCAGAAAAAUUUAUCCUCAGAAUUGCAAUUGGAAAUGAACCAACUUUGAAUUGAGCUCAUGCAACCAAACAUUACACGCGGAAAAAGCUGAUGAAAGAUUUUGCUGGAUAUGCUUCAACUUUCCGACUAGGUUGACAUCCAGUUCCUUCAUCGCGACAUUUCCAAUUGGAUCUUGACAUUCGGCAGUCCAAAAAUCAGUCUGUUAAGAUAGGUAGUGGAAGACUCCUAGAGAAGUUAGUAGAAUCUGAACUCUAUUUACAUUACGUUUUGUUACUUAGCCCCUGCUUUGAGUUGAAAAUUGAGGUACUCGGCCAAGUGGAAUGAUCAGAUCCUUCAUUCUCAUAUUCUUCAGCGCUAAUCUGAGCACCCUCAAUAACCUUUUAUCAAACCGAAACAAGUUUCAACUUAAUGCAUGAUUGAAAAAGCAAUGAAAAAGGAU
rnacentral:lncRNA from 1 species